CCUGGGCCUGUCCCAGUACCAGCGUUUCCCCUAACCCCCGUACCAGCGGGUACCCUGGAGCCCUCUCUCCAGAGCAGCGGCUGCACCCCUGGAGCCCCCCAGAACACUCAAGAUUUAGUCAGGAGUAUAUAGUACAAGUCAUGGAUAGGUCACGGG